UUUAAAUGUAUUGUGCCCUAUAUUUAUCUGACUGUCCAUUUAUACUAAUUUAGACUUUAAUCAAUCCACUUUCUCUCGAUAGGUCAUGAAAUUGUACACAACUUUGUGAGAUAUGCAACUUUGCGUGAACAACAAGCACUCCCCCCUAAACACAGAAAAUUCAUGCAAAGGACCUGGAAAAUCUGCAGAAAUAAACCCUAGGACUACUCUGACCAACGGAGGUUGGUGGUUUGGCAGUUGAAGGCUUAAGAAACUUGCUGACCAUCCUGGGUACAACCCCAACAGUCAAUGCCUCUAGCUACGACAGGCACAUAGCCACUUUUAAAUCGAUAUCUCAAGAGACCAGCGAGGAACACAUGAAGAGGGCGGCGGUAUGCCUACAACAAAGGGCAAUGGACAAGGACCCGACCAUCAGGUCAUGAAAUUGUACACAACUUUGUGAGAUAUGCAACUUUGCGUGAACAACAAGCACUCCCCCCUAAACACAGAAAAUUCAUGCAAAGGACCUGGAAAAUCUGCAGAAAUAAACCCUAGGACUACUCUGACCAACGGAGGUUGGUGGUUUGGCAGUUGAAGGCUUAAGAAACUUGCUGACCAUCCUGGGUACAACCCCAACAGUCAAUGCCUCUAGCUUCGACAGGCACAUAGCCACUUUUAAAUCGAUAUCUCAAGAGACCAGCGAGGAACACAUGAAGAGGGCGGCGGUAUGCCUACAACAAAGGGCAAUGGACAAGGACCCGACCAUCAGG